AGAGUUUGAUCAUGGCUCAGGAUAAACGCUGGCGGCGUGCCUAACACAUGCAAGUCGCACGUCCUUGGUUUUCGGACCGAGGGAGUGGCGGACGGGUGAGUAACACGUGGGUACCUACCUUGGAGUGAGGGAUACCGGCGAGAAUCGCCGACAAUUCCGCAUAGGCUUGUGCAAGCAAGCAAAGCCGCAAGGCGCUCGAAGAUGGGCCCGCGUCCGAUUAGCUGGUUGGUGGGGUAAUGGCCUACCAAGGCGACGAUCGGUAGCUGGUCUGAGAGGAUGAUCAGCCACACUGGGAUUGAGAACGGCCCAGACUCCUACGGGAGGCAGCAGUGAGGAAUUUUCGGCAAUGGGCGCAAGCUUGACCGAGCAACGCCGCGUGCAGGAGGAAGGUCUUCGGAUCGUAAACUGCUUUUACCGGGGAAGAGAACGGACGGUACCCGGUGAAUAAGCCCCGGCUAACUACGUGCCAGCAGCCGCGGUAAUACGUAGGGGGCGAGCGUUAUCCGGAAUUACUGGGCGUAAAGCGCACGCAGGCGGUCGACCAAGUUCAAGGCGACAGUCACGAGCUUAACUCGUGAAGGACUUUGAAAACUGGCCGACUGGAGAGCGAGAGAGGGGCAUGGAACUCCAGGUGGAGCAGUGAAAUGCGUAGAGAUCUGGAAGAACACCAAAGGCGA
rnacentral:rRNA from 1 species